CGUAGCCUACGGGAGGCAGCAGUAGGGAAUCUUCCACAAUGGGCGAAAGCCUGAUGGAGCAACGCCGCGUGGGCGAAGAAGGUCUUCGGAUCGUAAAACCCUGUUGUUAGAGAAGAAAGGGCGUGAGAGUAACUGUUCACGUUUCGACGGUAUCUAACCAGAAAGCCACGGCUAACUACGUGCCAGCAGCCGCGGUAAUACGUAGGAUGCAAGCGUUAUCCGGAUUUAUUGGGCGUAAAGGGAACGCAGGCGGUCUUUUAAGU
rnacentral:rRNA from 1 species